CUCCAGAUGUUGCUGAACUACAACUCUCAUCAGCCCCAGUGAGCAUGGCCAUGGAUAGUGAUGAUGGGAAUUGUACUUCAGCAACAUCUAGAA